rnacentral:tRNA from 1 species
AUUAAAUUAUCAUAAUCAAAUGUAUUAAAUUUAGAAUUUAAUUAAGUAAUUAAUAUUACAUUUAAUA